rnacentral:rRNA from 1 species
CCUACGGGUGGCAGCAGUAGGGAAUCUUCCACAAUGGGCGAAAGCCUGAUGCAGCAACGCCGCGUGGGUGAAGAAGGUCCUCGGAUCGUAAAACCCUGUUGGUAGGGAAGAAAAUGAGGGAGAGUAACUGUUCACGUUUCGACAGUAACUAACCAGCAAGCCACGGCUUACUACGUGCCAGCAGCCGAUGGAAUCCGUAGGUGGCAAGAGUUGUCCGGAUUUAUUGGGCGUAAAAGGAGCGCAGGCGGUCUUUUAAGCCUGGUGGGAAAGCCUUCGGCUUAACCGGUGUAGUGCAGUUGGAACUGGGAGACUUGAGUGCAGGAGAGGAGAGUGGAACUCCAGGUGUAGCGGUGAAAUGCGUAGAUAUAUGGAAGAACACCAGUGGCGAAGGCGGCCUUCUGGUCUGUAACUGACGCUGAGGUUCGAAAGCGUGGGGAGCAAACAGGAUUAGAUACCCGAGUAGUC